rnacentral:lncRNA from 1 species
CGGGUCAGAAUUUUUCGUCAAUUUAUCGACUCGAGUGUCAAGUGUUCAACAAGUGGUUUUAAAUAAUUGGGCUGAAAAUUAUUCAAGAGAGUACAAUUCAAGCAUUAUUGGGCUGAUCCAAUUGGUCCAUUCAAUUCAAUCCAGCACGAAUUAUCUAAUUGAUUUCAGAUUCAAUAAAUCAUAUGCGCGAAUUUUGGAAUUCAAUUAUAAUCUGCAACUUGCAAAGGGGAUGUUACACUCAUGUGGGGCUUUCUAAAUCAAGCAUCAUGUUACUUCAAUUAAGCCCCAUGCCCAGACAUGUAAAGAAUGAAGACAUGCAAAGAAUUAUUAAUUUAUUAAUUUUUUAUUAUCACGUGGGCCGCACCUUUUCAAGUAUCAGACUUGGUUGUUGUUUUAAAAAAAGUCAUCAGCCUUGGUUUUUUUUGUUUAAAAGUCAUCAGACUUUAUUUGUGAUGUAUACAUGACGUGGCAACUUGGCAAUUGUUAUUAUUUCCUUAUGAUCACACGUAGCAAGCCAACAAUCCUUAUUGAGAACUCAGUUUAAUCACACGGUAAAGGAAAUCCGGAGCGGUGAAGGAUUUUAUUUUAUUUGGAUUCUUAAUUUUAAAUUCUAUUGUACUUGGGAUUUCUUUUUUAAAUUGAUUUCUAUUUCCUUAUAGCAAUUAGGGUUAUAGUUUAUAAAUUCCUAUUAGGAUUUGGAUUGUUUUGAGUAGUAUAAAUAGAGGUUCAAGUUGAUGUAAACAUUAUACAUUAUUAUUAUUCAAUAUAUUUGUGAGGUUAUUCUCUACUUUUGGCUCUUUGAAGAAUUCUUAAGUAUUUUUCUUAGUUAUUUCUUUGAGGUUCAAUUUGACUUAUCAUACAACAAUUCAUAGUCGUGUGUGGCGUCUUCUACCGCAUCAAUCGUCGAUUGUACCGAGAUUACCCGCUUCAAUAUAAGCGAGGGGUCAAGGUGUCGUUGGUGUCCAUUCAACGCAGAAUUCCGAACGCGAGCAAUUGUACCAAGAUUACCGUCUACAUAUAGGCGAGGGGUUAAGGUGUUGCAAGCAAUUCACCCAACAACUGUGCUAGAAACGAUCGGGGCGACGACCACCUCACGCAAGCGUGCCGUGGAGUCUAUCAUUUGGUAUCAAAACUAAGCCUUUCUAGCGAGUUACUUAUCUUUAAUUUUCUGUCGAAAUAUAUAUUGUAAAAAAAAAAGCAAAAAAAAAGCAAAAAAAAAAUAAUAAUUCAUAUUUUCAUUGUGCUAACCAAACUUGUAGCACACCAUCAAAUUUCAACGAAGAUUUCAUACCGUUCAAUCAUCAUCAAUUCUGAAACGGAGCUACAAUUUACAAAUCUGACGCAUACAAGAGGAGUAUAAGGCAAUCGAUCGGUGAUUUUGUGAUAUUCUAAUAGUUACACCAUCUAUAAUUUUGUUUCGUGAUAAGUAAUUUUUGAAUUGAUUAGGAAAACCAAGAAUUUUGCUAGGAGAAUUCAAGAAGAACCUAUUAGAGAGAAUAUUAGAGGUAAAAGGCAAGAGUGUAAGAUUAUUAGAGGGUAAAAGCCAAAUUUGAGCGAUACACGAGUGAUUCAUCAUUAUUUGAGCGAAACACGUAAGGGAGUGUGUGAGGAAAAUUUUUAUCUACUAACCUUUGUUUUACAGCAAACAUGUAUGGCUACAAUUAUGAAAGUUCUUAUGGGUCUCAAAGGAAUACUUUCCAAGGCAAUAUUGAUACAGAGACAUAUCUGAGAUGGGAGAGAAAAAUGGAGCGAGAAUUUGACUAUCAUGAUUACUCCGAGAGGAGGAAGGUCAGACGGGCAAUUCAAGAGUUCUCCGAUCAUACAAUUAUAUGGUGACAGCUUAUCAAACAAAAACAUGGGGAGCGUCCGUUCGAGACAUGGACAGAAUUAAAAACAGCAAUGAGAAAGCGAUUUGCUCCAGUACAGCGUGACAGGAGGGAGGAAUAUACAUCUAAAAAAUUUGUAGAGCAACCUUCAAGGCGAUCUACAUUAGAAGAUGAUAUGAGGGUUCACAGACAUGUAAACAAAGAGGAUUCACAUUGGAGACAACCCCAAGACACUCUUAAGGCAUCCAAGAACUUAAGAGAAGACAUCAAUGAGAGCUUUAAGGAGGUGGAAGAAAUUAUAGAAUAUGCAGUCCAAGGAGAGUUAUUGGGUUCAAGAUGAAAUCCAUGAUCAAAAGCAAGAUGGUGAACAUCCAAAAGAAAGUAAUCAAGAAGAUGAGUUCGUAAAAGGAAAUACAUGUGGAAAAGAUCGACAAAAAGAAAUUGUUCGAAAGAUUGAUAAUGUAAAAGAAAAAAUUGAAAAGAGUGAGAAUGAAAAGAAAAGAGAGAUUGAGAAAAAAGAGAAUGAAAAGAGUGACCUUGAAAAUAAAUGAGGGGUCAAGGUGUCGUUGGUGUCCAUUCAACGCAGAAUUCCGAAUGCGAGCAAUUGUACCAAGAUUACCGUCUACAUAUAGGCGAGGGGUUAAGGUGUUGCAAGCAAUUCACCCAACAACUGUGCUAGAAACGAUCGGGGCGACGACCACCUCACGCAAGCGUGCCGUGGAG